rnacentral:rRNA from 2 species
UUUGCCUUUUGUGAUACGCUUUCAAAGAGUCAGGUUGUUUGGGAAUGCAGCCUAAAUUGGGUGGUAAAUCUCACCUAAAGCUAAAUAUUGGCGAGAAACCGAUAGCGAACAAGUACCGUGAGGGAAAGAUGAAAAGAACUUUGAAAAGAGAGUUAAACAGUAUGUGAAAUUGUUAAAAGGGAACCGUUUGGAGCCAGACUGGCUUGUCUGUAAUCAAUCUAGGCUUCGGCCUGGAUGCACUUGCAGGCUAUGCCUGCCAACGACAAUUUGACUUGAGGGAAAAAACUAAGGGAAAUGUGGCCCACUUGUGGGUGUUAUAGUCCCUUAGAAAAUACCUUGGGUUGGAUUGAGGAACGCAGCGAAUGCUUUUUGGCGAGUUUUCCAGGAAGGUUUUCUGAGGUACUACGGUAUCAAGGUUGAUCUUU